rnacentral:rRNA from 1 species
GAUGAACGCUGGCGGCGUGCUUAACACAUGCAAGUCGAGCGGACAGGUGCGGAUCUUGCUCCUUGCUCGAUAGCGGCACGCGUGUGUGUAACAUGUGGAUCCUGUACCUAUAUUACUGGUAUCUCUUCGGAACUCGGGCUCUUAUCCCGGAGAAGCUCUUGAUCCAUGUUGUUCGUUAGAGAGUUUCGGCUGUUGUGGCUGUACUCGCUGCAUCUGCGCCGCAUUAGAUAGUUGUUAAGGUCACGGCUUACGAAGGCAACCAUGCGUAGCCGACCUAUGAGGGUGAUAGGCCACACUGGAACGGAGACACGGUCCAGACUACUGAGGGACGCAGCAGUAGGGAAUCUUACGCAAUGGGCGAAAGCCUGACGGAGCAACGCCGCGUGAGAUAUGAAGGUCUUCGGAUCGUAAUACUCGGUUAUGAGGGAAGAACAAAUGUGUAAGGAACUAAGCACGUAUUGACGGUACCUAAUCAGAAAGCCACGGCUAACUACGUG